CUACGGGACCAAAACAGCAGAGAAGUUUAGCUUCGUGCUUCAAGGCUCUUAGUUGUGGAAAUGUACCCACUCUGCUGUUUACUUUGUGCAUCUAUAUCAUAUCGCUGAGUCUACCUUUAAUUGUGCGAAUGUCUCUUGUUGCAGUCUAUCGUGAGGACCUUAAAUGCCCACAGAGACACCACAACAGACACAAACAAAAGGAGCCAGAGGUCAGGUCUCUCCGUGUGGGCGACACAAGAGAAACCAGGACAAGAGGCUGUGGAACCACCCAACCAUCGCAAGAGGCCCAACAACGAGAAGGCCACUGAUGUCUACCACUUCGAGAAGUUCAAGAAGAUAAAUCGCAGAUACUGGGGACAGAUUGUCCCUAGGACUGGAGAUUGAAAAAUCUCUACUAAACAUGAUUUUUAGUCUAGGACUAGGCUUAAUCUGUGUCCAGGAAACCAGCCCUAAAUGUUCUUCAGAAAACAAAAAUCUGCCUGUUUUCCUCGUAAACACCUUUGUAUUUAUAGCCCCUUUUCCUUUUGUUUCCAGCAUUGUUAUUUUGUCUGGGACUUGAUCAAUGUUAUGUAUUGAAUAUAUUUGUAUUUUACCAUUACAGAUAGCAUGUGAAAUGUCAUAAAUCUGAAUUAUGUGAUGGUGUCAUUCCAUCCUUGGUUUCUACAAUACAUUUCCCGUGCUAUUUUAGAAUUUUUGUGUCAAAGAUAGAAUAAAAGUAAUUUUGUUGUAGCAGAAUACAUUUUCUGAUUUUUCCAGAAAUAUCUGGGAUUUUUUUAGAGAUAAGAGGCCGAAGCUUGAGUUUAUAAUUAUGUUUUAUUGACUUGUCGAAUCCUUCAUGGAAUUAACAGACACUAACUGAAAUUGCUAAAUUACAAAAUAAUGCUGCAAAAGAAAUCCAAUAACGUAACAUCCAUACACUUGCAUGACAGGCAGUCCUAUAGUCAUACAUUUAAACAUGUUUUAACAGAACGAAAGAAAAUAGCAUCUAGUAAUACUGUACAUCUCUGCCACUGAGUUAACUGAAAUGUGCUUCACCUAACGAAAUAUCAACAAUGUACAUAAUGGGCAUAUUAACACCAGAAAGAGCAAAAUACAACACCUUUAUAAUCUUAGAUUUCCAGGGACACAUUUUAAGUUGUUUAGGCCAGCUAAUUAAGUCUUCAAACUAGUUGUAUUAUUACUUCUAAUCUUGUCCCAACUAUUCAUGAAUGAUCAACACUAAAAUGUCAAAUACGUUGCUACAGAUCUUACAGCAUUUAUGAACUGUUACAGUUGAUU
rnacentral:lncRNA from 1 species